GCAUAUAGCAGCAUGUUCGAUUAUGCGUCAAGGAUACAGCAUAGCAAGUUUGUAUGAAGGUCUGGUUAGUAAAUGGGAACAUAGUUCAAUAGUAAUAUCCUCUAAAACGCACCGGUGACAAACAAACUUUGCUGCCCUGUUUUCAAUUGUCCACAUUGCAGGGAGAACCUAUUCAAAUACCUUGAAACUGAAGAUUCCUUCAAAACGAUUGACUACAGUAUUAUUAAAGAGAUAGAUGCAGUAGUCCCAGAGUUAAUGAUCCAAGUUAUGUUUUGAUGUGAGAGAGGAUGCCAACCCCCAGUCCCAUCAUCGCCACCUCACCCUGCUUUUAAGAUAACCUUCGGGCCGACGAGACACUAGUAUGUAAUUGUGAUGAACUGAGAAUAUUUGGGUAGCACUGAUUCAUGAAUCAUAUCCCUGCUCCUAUGUUCUUCUCUUUCCGUUUCUGUCUUUUUACACCUCUCUCGCCACCUCCUUUCUUCCUCUGUUUUUAUAAUGCACAACAGAUGUGCAUUGAAGUACAGAUUGAAUUUGCAUUGCUAUUAUAAUUGUGAUAUUAUAAAUACAUGUAUUUAUAACACUUGGAUAAUGAACUUCUUUCAAUAAAGUGUUUCACAU